UUUCCAUCUGCUCAGCAAAUAGAGUUCCUUGCUAAUGGACAUUGUCAAGGGGAAGAGAAACUACUUUAAUGUGUAAAUCUGACAAAGGUCAGCUUAUGUUCCAUGGCAGCUCCAGCCAUACAGACACCCGGUGCUAAGUGGAUAGUCCUUGGCUCUUGGCAGUGAGUUGUGAGCUACAGACAGCUACAGACGGAGCACAGGAUUAAAAUGAGCUGAACUUCAGUGUUCUGACACAGGAAUUUGAGACCGAAGGCUUGUUCCUGCUGAGUUGAGUCUGCCAAGGAAGGCACAGGCUCAAGGAGCUGCUAUGGGAGAUGCUCUACUGGUCCAGUUUGAGGGGAAGCACAGGCAUCGUGUGCUGGAGCUGCUCUGUCUGCAAUGCCCAUCCACCUGCCUCCCAGUGCGGCCUGGCAGGGGCUGAUGGCAAGUUAGAGAAGCUGCUGGUGACACUGGAGAGCUGGGAGCAAGGCUGGCUGCAUGGUCAUUUCGUUAGACAGCACUCAUUUGGGGGUGAUGAACUUUUGGAGCUCACAGGCCGGCAGGUUUUACAUAUGUUACACGAUUUGCACCAAUCAAUACAGAACGUGGACACGUGCUCACAUCUGGAACACAUGAGCCAUGAAGGCAGGGACUGAAUGGAGAUCUUGCAAGCACCCUGGCACUGUCUGGAUUUCAGGGUAAAAACAUAUUUUUAAUUUUUUUUUUUUAAUGAGCUGUUAGAUUUCUGAAGCACAGAGUGGCAGUGCCCAUUUCAAUGUACAACUCCUGCAGGAUGCAGCUCUACCACAGAGCAAAGCUGGAAGCUGCUUCCCUCAGCUGGCUGGCCAAGAAGGAAAACUCCAAAUUCCAUGUGAAUGUAGCACAGGACAAGGAUCACAACGCUGGAUCAAGGAUCUGCCUCUGCUCACAGCACUGCCAAGGACAUGGCAAUGCAUUUUAAUUCUGGCUAUGGAAGUAGGGAAAAUAAAGCUUUACCAAAAAGAAAAAAAUUAUUUCUU
rnacentral:lncRNA from 1 species